AAUAGCUCAGCGGUAGAGCAUUCGGCUGUUAACCGAAGGGUCGUAGGUUCGAGCCCUACUU
rnacentral:tRNA from 1 species